rnacentral:rRNA from 2 species
GAUGCUAAUACCGCAUAAAACCUAGCACCGCAUGGUGCAAGGUUGAAAGAUGGUUUCGGCUAUCACUUUAGGAUGGACCCGCGGUGCAUUAUUUAGUUGGUGAGGUAAAGGCUCACCAAGACCGUGAUGCAUAGCCGACCUGAGAGGGUAAUCGGCCACACUGGGACUGAGACACGGCCCAGACUCCUACGGGAGGCAGCAGUAGGGAAUCUUCCACAAUGGACGAAAGUCUGAUGGAGCAACGCCGCGUGAGUGAAGAAGGUUUUCGGAUCGUAAAACUCUGUUGUUGGAGAAGAACGUAUUUGAUAGUAACUGAUCAGGUAGUGACGGUAUCCAACCAGAAAGCCACGGCUAACUACGUGCCAGCAGCCGCGGUAAUACGUAGGUGGCAAGCGUUGUCCGGAUUUAUUGGGCGUAAAGCGAGCGCAGGCGGUUUCUUAAGUCUGAUGUGAAAGCCUUCGGCUCAACCGAAGAAGUGCAUCGGAAACUGGGAAACUUGAGUGCAGAAGAGGACAGUGGAACUCCAUGUGUAGCGGUGAAAUGCGUAAAUAUAUGAGAGACACCAGUGGCGAUGGCGGCUGUCUGGUCUGUAACUGACGCUGAGGCUCGAAAGCAUGGGUAGCGAACAGGAUUAGAUACCCUGGUAGUCGAUGCCGUAAACGAUGAGUGCUAAGUGUUGGAGGGUUUCCGCCCUUCAGUGCCGCAGCUAACGCAUUAAGCACUCCGCCUGGGGAGUACGACCGCAAGGUUGAAACUCAAAGGAAUUGACGGGGGCCCGCACAAGCGGUGGAGCAUGUGGUUUAAUU